rnacentral:ncRNA from 2 species
CGUACGAAAGGGCACUCCCAUUGAAAAAUGGUGUCGCAAAACUAGAGGGGCUAAAGUUUUCAUAACUAUGCUAGCCAGUUACCGAA